rnacentral:rRNA from 1 species
GAUCAUGGCUCAGAUUGAACGCUGGCGGCAGGCCUAACACAUGCAAGUCGAACGGUAACAGGAAGCAGCUUGCUGCUUCGCUGACGAGUGGCGGACGGGUGAGUAAUGUCUGGGAAACUGCCUGAUGGAGGGGGAUAACUACUGGAAACGGUGGCUAAUACCGCAUAACGUCGCAAGACCAAAGAGGGGGACCUUCGGGCCUCUUGCCAUCAGAUGUGCCCAGAUGGGAUUAGCUUGUUGGUGAGGUAACGGCUCACCAAGGCGACGAUCCCUAGCUGGUCUGAGAGGAUGACCAGCCACACUGGAACUGAGACACGGUCCAGACUCCUACGGGAGGCAGCAGUGGGGAAUAUUGCACAAUGGGCGCAAGCCUGAUGCAGCCAUGCCGCGUGUAUGAAGAAGGCCUUCGGGUUGUAAAGUACUUUCAGCGGGGAGGAAGGUGUUGUGGUUAAUAACCGCAGCAAUUGACGUUACCCGCAGAAGAAGCACCGGCUAACUCCGUGCCAGCAGCCGCGGUAAUACGGAGGGUGCAAGCGUUAAUCGGAAUUACUGGGCGUAAAGCGCACGCAGGCGGUCUGUCAAGUCGGAUGUGAAAUCCCCGGGCUCAACCUGGGAACUGCAUUCGAAACUGGCAGGCUUGAGUCUUGUAGAGGGGGGUAGAAUUCCAGGUGUAGCGGUGAAAUGCGUAGAGAUCUGGAGGAAUACCGGUGGCGAAGGCGGCCCCCUGGACAAAGACUGACGCUCAGGUGCGAAAGCGUGGGGAGCAAACAGGAUUAGAUACC